UUAUAAAGUAUUACUUAUAUCUCAAACACACUAAUUCUAUUCUGAUCAAAGUAAUAGUAUUUGUACUAUCCUAUUAGUAAUAUUUAAAGUGUUAGUUCUAAAAAAGUGCAUCAGAUGAGUGGAAAGAUGACUCAUUUUAAUGGCCUGCUCUUGCUUAUCAUCAUUUUUAUCAAUUUCUAAUAAAAAUCCUAGGAUAUACUCUAGUAAAGCCAUGGACAACUUUAAAUCAUUAGAUGCUUACAAGUUUUUUAUUGAUGGAUGGGUUCAAACUAUAAAACAUCAGAAACUGCCUGGUGGAGCUUACAUUCUCUAUAGCGAAUUCAGACCAUCAUUUAGGACCAUUGAAACAUGUGUUUCUUUUAAAAUAAGUUUCUUACAAGUUUUAGAGAGUACCUUCGUGAAUGAAGUUAAAAAGUUGUUAAUGUUAAGCAUUUUCUAGAAGCCAAGACGGAAUAUCGUUAAUCCUCAUUUCGUUUACUAAAAUUUUAAAAAUAUUGUUACAAUGUUAUAAUUCAUAUUGUUGUAAUUAGUAAUUUUGAUCAUUUCAUUAUUAUACUGUAAAAAAAAAUUUUAUUUAUAAAUUUUAUUCAACAUAUAAUAAAAACAUGCGGAAUAGAUUUCACACUGAGGAAAAUUUUAAACAAAAAUAUUGAAUUUUUAAAUGUUAUUAGAACAUUAAUAUGUAGUAUUUUUGUUUUAUUUAUUGACUAGUCUGUAAACUGUGCAAUAAUUUCAAAAUGAUGAAUUAAUUAAAUUCCAUAAUUCCUUUAUGCAUUUGUACAGAUUUAUUGUAAUAUAAUGCUAAAUUUCGUUCUAAAAAGUCAAGUAAAAUCUCUUCAGCUUGUAAAAUAGAUUGUUCUUUUUACGUAUUUAGUUAAAGUAAUUGUUGCGUUUGAAGUUGUUGUAAUAAAGCAAAAAAACAGUCAUCGCAAUCCCCUUAAAGUUCUUUUUUCGAUCUUUCAAAUGCAGCCCCUGUGUAACUUUAGUAUCACCUAUUUAUAAUAUAAUAAUUUGAUCAAAAGUACGUAAGACAAGUAAUUUUAUCUAAUCCUUCAGAUCGGUUGCGCAAACACAGCGGAGCAAUAGCAGUACUUUAAGUACACAUAUGAACACUCAAAAAAGAAUUUCUUUCUUUCAAUUACCAUGAAAGUUAACUUUCUGAAUAAUGGUAGGUAGCGUGUGACAAUUGCUUCACAAUCGUAAUAAUUAAGUCCAAAGAUGUUGGAUUUUUUUUAAUAUUUACGGUUAGCUGUUCGCAGAACGCGAACGAAAACAUUAGUUUAUGCAAAUUUAAAUAGCAAAAUAUACUGUCGCUUCAGGCGCCUUUAAUAAUAAAAUUGUGUAAAAAUUUAACCAAUUGUAUAAAAAUUGCUGUAUUCUUGUAAAGAGUUAUAUCAUUGUUAAAAUAAACUAGGUAAACAAUAAUUUACAUAUAUAAAUAAAAUAAUAAAUAACUUAAAAUUAUAUAAAAAACUAAAUAUAAAUGGUGUUUUAUUAGAUUACAUCAUAUAUCUCCGACAUUGAUUUAAAUGUCGCGUUCCUGCCUUAAUAAUUUUGUUUUAUUUUGUAGUUCACAUUGAUAUCUUCGGAACCGUUGUUAUUCAACUUAAAAUUUAUCACAGUGAAAUUAUUCAACUUAAAAUUUAUCAACUAAAGAAAAAAAUACUUUCAUAGUAAUUGAAUGUAGGAAAUUUUUGCGUAUUUAUAUGUAUACUUCUUUUUUUUUUUUAUUUAGGUGCUUCAAAAAGACCUAACGGUCUUGUCACGGGGGAACGCGGAAGUACGUCUCUAGGAAGUUCACACUUUCUUCCUUACCGUGACGCGAAAAUAUGUCCAGAGCUCGUGUCAAAACUGAAUCUCCUGCUUAUAAAGCAAGCGUUGUAACCACUGCGCCACGGCCGCACUACAUAAAGUACUUGCUGCUAUUGCACUGUGUCCACGCAACCCGUCUGAAAGAAUAGAUAAAAUUACUUGUCUUAUGUGCUUUUGAUCAAAUUACUAUAUAAUAUAUAAUUACUAUAUUAUGUCAAUAAGUGAUACACAGGGAUUGCAUUUGAAAGUUGGAAAAAAGAAGCUCAAAGGACUUGCGAUGACUGUUCAUUUGCUUAAUGACAACAACUUCAAACGCAACAUUAUUUUACUUUACAUUUCAAUUAAUCAGUAAAAUUAGUAAUCAUUAAAUUUCAGUAAAUUACUUUACAUUUCAAAACUGAUUAUAAUAUGAAACUAAAUACGUAAAAAAGAAAAUAUGAUUCAAAACUUUUUUUUUUUUAAUCUACCGGGAUUAGACAGAACAAUCUAUUCUACAGGCUGAAGAGAUUUUACUUGACUUUUUAGAACAAAAUUUAGCGUUAUAUUGGAAUAAAUCUGUG
rnacentral:misc_RNA from 1 species